AUUGAACGCUGGCGGCAGGCCUAACACAUGCAAGUCGAGCGGAUGAGAAGAGCUUGCUCUUCGAUUCAGCGGCGGACGGGUGAGUAAUGCCUAGGAAUCUGCCUAUUAGUGGGGGACAACGUUUCGAAAGGAACGCUAAUACCGCAUACGUCCUACGGGAGAAAGCAGGGGACCUUCGGGCCUUGCGCUAAUAGAUGAGCCUAGGUCGGAUUAGCUAGUUGGUGAGGUAAUGGCUCACCAAGGCURCGAUCCGUAACUGGUCUGAGAGGAUGAUCAGUCACACUGGAACUGAGACACGGUCCAGACUCCUACGGGAGGCAGCAGUGGGGAAUAUUGGACAAUGGGCGAAAGCCUGAUCCAGCCAUGCCGCGUGUGUGAAGAAGGUCUUCGGAUUGUAAAGCACUUUAAGUUGGGAGGAAGGGCAGUAACCUAAUACGUUAUUGUUUUGACGUUACCGACAGAAUAAGCACCGGC
rnacentral:rRNA from 1 species